rnacentral:rRNA from 1 species
ACGGCGUCUAAUACUGGAUAUGAGCUCUCAUCGCAUGGUGGGGGUUGGAAAGAUUUUUCGGUUUGGGAUGGGCUCGCGGCCUAUCAGCUUGUUGGUGAGGUAAUGGCUCACCAAGGCGUCGACGGGUAGCCGGCCUGAGAGGGUGACCGGCCACACUGGGACUGAGACACGGCCCAGACUCCUACGGGAGGCAGCAGUGGGGAAUAUUGCACAAUGGGCGCAAGCCUGAUGCAGCAACGCCGCGUGAGGGAUGACGGCCUUCGGGUUGUAAACCUCUUUUGGUAGGGAAGAAGCCUUCGGGUGACGGUACCUGCAGAAAAAGCGCCGGCUAACUACGUGCCAGCAGCCGCGGUAAUACGUAGGGCGCAAGCGUUAUCCGGAAUUAUUGGGCGUAAAGAGCUCGUAGGCGGUCUGUCGCGUCUGCUGUGAAAUUCCGAGGCUCAACCUCGGGCUUGCAGUGGGUACGGGCAGACUAGAGUGCGGUAGGGGAGAUUGGAAUUCCUGGUGUAGCGGUGGAAUGCGCAGAUAUCAGGAGGAACACCGAUGGCGAAGGCAGAUCUCUGGGCCGUUACUGACGCUGAGGAGCGAAAGGGUGGGGAGCAAACAGGCUUAGAUACCCUGGUAGUCCACCCCGUAAACGUUGGGAACUAGUUGUGGGGUCCUUUCCACGGAUUCCGUGACGUAGCUAACGCAUUAAGUUCCCCGCCUGGGGAGUACGGCCGCAAGGCUAAAACUCAAAGGAAUUGACGGGGACCCGCACAAGCGGCGGAGCAUGCGGAUUAAUUCGAUGCAACGCGAAGAACCUUACCAAGGCUUGACAUACGCCAGAACGGGCCAGAAAUGGUCAACUCUUUGGACACUGGUGAACAGGUGGUGCAUGGUUGUCGUCAGCUCGUGUCGUGAGAUGUUGGGUUAAGUCCCGCAACGAGCGCAACCCUCGUUCUAUGUUGCCAGCACGUUAUGGUGGGAACUCAUGGGAUACUGCCGGGGUCAACUCGGAGGAAGGUGGGGAUGACGUCAAAUCAUCAUGCCCCUUAUGUCUUGGGCUUCACGCAUGCUACAAUGGCCGGUACAAUGGGCUGCGAUACCGCGAGGUGGAGCGAAUCCCAAAAAGCCGGUCCCAGUUCGGAUUGAGGUCUGCAACUCGACCUCAUGAAGUCGGAGUCGCUAGUAAUCGCAGAUCAGCAACG